UACGUAGGGUGCAAGCGUUGUCCGGAAUUAUUGGGCGUAAAGAGCUCGUAGGCGGUCUGUCGCGUCUGCUGUGAAAACCUGGGGCUUAACCCCGGGCCUGCAGUGGGUACGGGCAGACUAGAGUGCGGUAGGGGAGACUGGAAUUCCUGGUGUAGCGGUGAAAUGCGCAGAUAUCAGGAGGAACACCAGCGGCGAAGGCGGCUUUCUGGUCUGAUACUGACGCUGAGGCGCGAAAGCGUGGGGAGCGAUCCGG
rnacentral:rRNA from 1 species